AUGCUGCAGCCCUCAUCACAGCAUCGCAUUACCAGCAAACCUCGCCGGAAAGACCGGGGAGGCCACCAUCUCCAGCUGACGCAUAGGGGACUCCAAGUGCGACCCAAGCAGCGCUUUCAAGAAAGGAACGGCGCUGAGACGCCGUCGCUGCCUUGUCCAGGGAACUGGACCAAGGGUUUCCCCCGGUGCCCGAGGAGAGGGUCCAGUCUGGGCCAUGACAGCGCCUCCAUGGAGGUAACGGCACCCUCAGGUGUCGCCGUUGUCAGCGCAGGCCAACGCCGCGCAGGGAUUUCGCCCGGCCCAAGACCAGAACCCCAAAACCGCCGAAGCAGAGCAAACAGGAGAUGGGGAAGCAGAUCGCCAGAGAGGACCACCAGCACCGAGAGGGAAACCACGUAUUGUCACUGUCGAUGUAGGGAAGCACCGGCCAGCGCAGUGCAGCAGCUGCUGGAUGGCUGCCAGACAAGGCCAGCCAUCGCACGGGACGCGUCGAGCAGGGCUAGUGGCGCCGUCGCGGAGACCAGCCACCUGCACCUUGCCGCCGCCGACCAUGGCCGCUGCCGCGCCGGCCCGCAGCCUCCGCCACCCGGAUCCACCGGGGCACAGCCAAGCAGCCGCAGCCGCGCCCCCAAAGGGUCGCGCCGCGCCGCCCGCGUGCUCGCCACGCCAGUCCAGAGGCCCGACCCUCUGGAUCUGGGGCUGCCGUCGCGAAACCCUAGGUUCGGAGAAGCGCAGCUCCGUCAGCCUCGUCGAGCCCCACGCUCGAGGGGGGAGGCCGCCUGGGAGCGAAGUCCCGCCGCCGCCGGAUCCACCAGGGCUUUGCCCGGCGGGGAGCACCGGCGGCGGCAGGGGGAGGGGGAGGAGGAGGGGAGGGAGCGCUUGAGGGCUGCGUCGCCUCCCGAGUCGCCCGUGGGGAGGGCGACGCGGGGGAGGGUCGAUUUCUUCUAA
rnacentral:rRNA from 1 species